UAGCAACUCACUCACUCUUUGGUUACCUAGCAACAACCUGUUGAGUGACUCAUAACCGUUUUAAAAUAAAAAACGGCAGGGAGUGAAGACAGAAAAUCAGAACAUCUUGAGAGGAAACUGUGUGAGUGCUUUUACCUGCCAGCAGGAGGCGCAGCAGGCACAGUACUUCCAGCAGCAGAGCAGCAGCAGCGCCAGCAGCAACAGGAGGAAGAGGAUGAGCGGCAGCAGCCACAGCAGACUAGCCGCUGGACAGUCUGAAAAGAAAUGCUGCAAAAGACAUCUUUUCUUCUGACGUCUCAUUAAGGGAGGAGAAGAAGGCGUGAAAUGAGCCUCCUGAUGCUUUCUGCUCUCACCUCUUCGCUGCAGUACGCGCAUCCCACCCCGGCCUGCAGACAGUCUGAGCAGGAACCGGACUUGGCGUCGAGGCAGGAGUUCACUGUUUGGGACAGAGUGCAGCAAAGGUCAAUUAUUUACUUGCCUGCUCUUGCACUCAGCGAAGAGAGCGCGUCUGCAGGAGAGAUCCGAGCGACUCUGAGACUCCGCCUGAAUGUCAGUGGGAGUGGUGGGACGCGAUCCUUUUUGCUUCAGCGUACACACCCACGCACCAGUCCCUGUCCCUGUCCAGGUACGCUGAUGUCAGGAAGAGAGAGUUCACCUGUGUGGGCUUGAGAUUCUGGAAGCAGGCCCCUCCUGCAGGCCUCCUCCCAAUCUCCAGGGAGUGGCGCACAUUGAAGAACACUGCCUGCAGGCUAUGGGAAACUGUUUAGUGACUCGUGUUUACUCAACCAUGUUCUCCUGCUAACGGUAACAGAGUUGCGAGUGAGCAGGCGGGAGGAUCUGCGUUCCUGUGCAGGCAGGCCCACACGGCGCCGUGACCAGGACACUGAAUCCUUCAGUGAGCCGUGUUGAAUUGUGCUCCAACAGCCUCGCACAAUGGAGCUCAACCACCUUUUCUGUUCACACAGUUGAAGUGUUGGACAACUCACCAAACCGACCUGCGUUGGUAUUUAAAACUAACAAAGAUUUGGUUUUUUUUUUAUACAUAUAUUUAAGUUUCAUACUUGAAUAUUAAUUUAGCUAAAUAAAAUUUAUACGUUGAAAUGUUUCUCCCCGAAAAGACGUGGGCAUAAGUGUCAUAAAUCAAUCCUGCAACUCCAAACUGAACAAAUUCAAAUUGGUGUUUGCUUGUCGAGAGCAAAACUUGAAAUGACAUUGAUAAGGCAUAUUACGAAUAAUAUUUCCGGGCGUUGCCGUGAUGAAAUUCAGGCUUCUUAACUGGACCGCUGUGACCUCUGACCUCUGAUGUUUGAGCUGUACCUGGUCACAGCAGAAACGACAAUAGACUGUAGACGACCAUCUUCUGUUGCACCAAGAUGGAUUCCACUCUAA